GAUGAACGCUAGCGGCAGGCUUAAUACAUGCAAGUCGAGGGGUAGCAAGAUUGUAGCAAUACAAUUGUUGACGACCGGCAAACGGGUGCGGAACACGUACACAACCUUCCUACAAGUGGGGAAUAGCCCAGAGAAAUUUGGAUUAAUACCCCGUAACAUAGCGAUGUGGCAUCACAUUGCUAUUAUAGCUUCGGCGCUUGUUGCUGGGUGUGCGGCUGAUUAGCUAGUUGGUGAGGUAACGGCUCACCAAGGCAAUGAUCUUUAGGGGGCCUGAGAGGGUGAUCCCCCACACUGGUACUGAGACACGGACCAGACUCCUACGGGAGGCAGCAGUGAGGAAUAUUGGUCAAUGGGUGCAAGCCUGAACCAGCCAUCCCGCGUGAAGGAUUAAGGUCCUAUGGAUUGUAAACUUCUUUUGUAUAGGGAUAAACCUACCCUCGUGAGGGUAGCUGAAGGUACUAUACGAAUAAGCACCGGCUAACUCCGUGCCAGCAGCCGCGGUAACAC
rnacentral:rRNA from 1 species